rnacentral:rRNA from 1 species
AUGACAAUUUUUGACGAUGAUGAUGAUGCGGAGCCACAACUGAAGGUCGUUGACAACUACUAUUUUGAGAAAGCCAAGGACGAGUUUGUUUGUUUCAGCACCUUGCCCCUUAAGUUUGAUGAGAAUGAUAAAGUCUCCGGGAAGGGUAUCUACUUGCGUCGAUAUUCCGCAGAUGGCGCCCCUGCAGUAUACAAGCAGGUUGUAGCUUGGACAGUAGCACUUAACCGUGAGCAGCCAAAGAUCUCAGUGCUUUCAAGUGAGGGCUAUUGGAUAGAAUUGGAUCUAUUGAAACCACGGAAAAUCUAUUGGAAGUUUGCUCGAUCAGCAUUAACGACAGUUCAAAUGCUCCACUUUGUCAAAAGGCAACCCAGAAAACCGAUGAUAAGUCUUUCUGUUCACCUUCGUGAAAUAUUCAGUAAAUUUGAAACGGAAGAGAUGGAGGAUGCUUUAGGGAAACACCAUCACAUAAUCAAGCGAUGUGCAGAGAGGGAUCCUGCUUUAAUGAGGUCAAAGAUUCUGCAAAGCUUUAUCAAGGACACUUCUGGGAAAUACUUUGAGUGCAUAUUAAGGAGUCUGAGCACCAAGGAGUCAUUCAUUGUUGUUGCUGAGCCUCUUGCAAGUGGGGGUAAAGGCAAUUGCGAUACAGUUAGUGAUGGUAACAUAAUCGGCGAUGAUGGUGAUGGCACUGAGCCAAUAUGUGCAAUAUGUGAUGAAGGAGGAGAAUUACUUAGCUGUAAAGGUCGAUGCAAGAGAGCCUUCCAUCCUACAAUAGAAGCUGGCAGAAAGUCUAAAUGUGUAACACUUGGUUACACUGCUGUACAAGUAAAGGAAAUGAAUAAGUUCAUAUGCGAAAACUGUAGAUAUGAACAACACUAA